rnacentral:rRNA from 1 species
GACGAACGCUGGCGGCGUGCUUAACACAUGCAAGUCGAACGGAGAGGCCCUGCUCUUGUGCCGUCCUCGUGUGCCGAACGGGUGAGUAUCACGUGAGUAACCUGCCCUUGUCUUUGGGAUACCUCAUGGAAACUCGGACGAAUACCCGACAUGAGCUCUUGCAGCACAGUUGUGGUGGGAAAGUUUCGCCAGUUCGUCACGGACUCGUGGCUCAUCAGCUUGUUGGUGGGGUAGUGGCUUACCAAGGCUUUGACGGGUAGCCGGACUGGGAGGGUGACCGGCCACAUAGGGACUGGGGUACGGGCCAGAGGGAUACGGGAGGCAGCAGUGGAGAAUAUUGCAAAAUGGGCGGAAUGCGGAUACAGCAACGCCGCGUGCGGGAUGUCGGCCGUCGGGUUAGAAACCGCGUUAGCCUGUAAAGAAGCGCGAGUGACGGUAAUGGGUAAAGAAGCACCGGCUAACUACGUG